UCAUAAUAUUUAUAGCAAAUUAUACAGAGGAAGUAAUUCUUCUUGAUAAUAAACCGAUCAAAUUUCUGCCCUAUCAUACUUUGGACGGUAAUGUAGUGGAUUACGGUGGUGAUGGACGGGUAACGGAGAAUUAGGGUUGAUUCCGGAGAGGGAGCAUGAGAAAUGGCUACCACUUCCAAGGAAGGCAGCAGGCGCGUAAAUUACCCAAUCCUAAAACAGGGAGGUAGUGACGAUAAAUAACAAUGAUUCAAUGAUAACAAAGUUGAAUUAAUUGGAAUGAGAACAAUAUAAAUCCCUUAUCGAGUAACAAUUUCAGGGCAAGUUCUGGUGCCAGCAGCCGCGGUAAUUCCAGCUGAAAAAGCGUAUACGAAUAUUGUUGCAGUUAAAACGCUCGUAGUUGGAAUAAAAAAGAGAAAGAGAGAGAGAAAAAACAAUUGUUUUUUCAAUCUUUUAUUUC
rnacentral:rRNA from 1 species